rnacentral:rRNA from 1 species
CCUACGUGGGGCUGCAGUGGGGAAUAUUGCACAAUGGGGGAAACCCUGAUGCAGCGACGCCGCGUGAGUGAAGAAGUAUUUCGGUAUGUUAAGCUCUAUCAGCAGGGAAGAAAAUGACGGUACCUGACUAAGAAGCCCCGGCUAACUACGUGCCAGCAGCCGCGGUAAUACGUAGGGGGCAAGCGUUAUCCGGAUUUACUGGGUGUAAAGGGAGCGUAGACGGCCAGACAAGUCAGAAGUGAAAGCCGAGGGCUCAACCCUGGGACUGCUUUUGAAACUGCCGGGCUGGAGUGCAGGAGAGGUAAGCGGAAUUCGUAGUGUAGCGGUGAAAUGCGUAGAUAUUAGGAGGAACACCGGUGGCGAAGGCGGCUUACUGGACUGUAACUGACGUUGAGGCUCGAAAGCGUGGGGAGCAAACAGGAUUAGAUACCCGAGUAGUC